UACAUGCAAGUAGAACGCUGAAGAGAGGAGCUUGCUCUUCUUGGAUGAGUUGCGAACGGGUGAGUAACGCGUAGGUAACCUGCCUGGUAGCGGGGGAUAACUAUUGGAAACGAUAGCUAAUACCGCAUGAAAUGGAUUAUCGCAUGAUAAUUCAUUGAAAGGUGCAAAUGCAUCACUACCAGAUGGACCUGCGUUGUAUUAGCUAGUUGGUGGGGUAACGGCUCACCAAGGCGACGAUACAUAGCCGACCUGAGAGGGUGAUCGGCCACACUGGGACUGAGACACGGCCCAGACUCCUACGGGAGGCAGCAGUAGGGAAUCUUCGGCAAUGGACGGAAGUCUGACCGAGCAACGCCGCGUGAGUGAAGAAGGUUUUCGGAUCGUAAAGCUCUGUUGUAAGAGAAGAACGAGUGUGAGAGUGGAAAGUUCACACUGUGACGGUAUCUUACCAGAAAGGGACGGCUAACUACGUGCCAGCAGCCGCGGUAAUACGUAGGUCCCGAGCGUUGUCCGGAUUUAUUGGGCGUAAAGCGAGCGCAGGCGGUUAGAUAAGUCUGAAGUUAAAGGCUGUGGCUUAACCAUAGUACGCUUUGGAAACUGUUUAACUUGAGUGCAAGAGGGGAGAGUGGAAUUCCAUGUGUAGCGGUGAAAUGCGUAGAUAUAUGGAGG
rnacentral:rRNA from 1 species